CAUUAAGUGGCUGAAACACAAUAAGCAUUGGUCUCUUAAACCAAAAUAUAGUAAUAUACUCUUAAUGG
rnacentral:tRNA from 2 species